UGGUAAUACCUCUUGAGAGUCCGCGC
rnacentral:sRNA from 1 species